GACGAACGCUGGCGGCGUGCUUAACACAUGCAAGUCGAGCGGAAAGGCUCCUUCGGGGGUACUCGAGCGGCGAACGGGUGAGUAACACGUGAGUAAUCUGCCCUGUGCUCUGGGAUAGCCACCGGAAACGGUGAUUAAUACCGGAUAUGACCAGCUACUGCAUGGUGGUUGGUGGAAAGUUUUUCGGCACAGGGUGUGCUCGCGGCCUAUCAGCUUGUUGGUGAGGUAAUGGCUCACCAAGGCUUUGACGGGUAGCCGGCCUGAGAGGGUGACCGGUCACACUGGGACUGAGACACGGACCAGACGCCUACGGGAGGCAGCAGUGGGGAAUAUUGGACAAUGGGCGGAAGCCUGAUCCAGCAACGCCGCGUGAGGGAUGACGGCCUUCGGGUUGUAAACCUCUUUCAGUACCGACGAAGCGAAAGUGACGGUAGGUACAGAAGAAGGACCGGCCAACUACGUGCCAGCAGCCGCGGUAAAAC
rnacentral:rRNA from 1 species